CAAGUGCAAGUUGUGAUUUGGAGAUCAAGCAAAUCAUGAUAAAAAGGGAUGAAGUCUAUGAAUUUGAGAAUUGAAUUUUAUCUUAGACAGUGGGUGAUUCUCAUGCCAUUAACACAAUUCAUUAAACCUUUAUAUUCCUUGCUUUCAAGAAAAAGAGAUAGAUUUGUCAAUUUCAUGCUUAUUAUUGCAAAAUUCAUAAUGCCAUUAGAGAGGAAUCCAAGAUAUUCUUGUGAAGAUUGAGAAAUAACAUUGAGCUUAAACUUGAGAUGAUGAAUAAACUAUAAGUUCUCAUCUUGUGUCUAUGCAUAGAGAGAUUCAAAAGUUUAGGUUGAGAGACGAUGUCAAAACAUGAGAUGAAAGCUCUUGGGCUCACUAAAGAUGGAGAUGGAUGUUGUUGAUGUGCACUUGUGAUGGAACUUGAGCUUUAUCCUACCUUUCUUUUUCUUUAUCUUCCUUCUCUUUUCUCUCUCUCUCUCGCUAGUUCAUCUACUAUUCUUCAUGUGUCAAGAGAGGGAGGGAUGAAAAAUGUGUGAGUGAGUGGGAAGGCCCCAAUCUAUUGUCAACAUUCUCCACUUUGAACUGACAUGUGGGACCAAGGGAAGAGGAUAGCUCACUUAACAGAUUCUGAUAAGUAAUGGUGCUCACAAAUGAUCCAUCAGGUCUACGUACAGUCUGCUAAAACAUGGGAUUUGAGGAUUUUGAUGUUGGAGAUGAGGAUUGAUAUUAGGGUCUUUACCUAAGCUUAAAGGCUUAGACAAGUUGUCAAUUGGCUAGGGAACACCAUGAUGGGUGAGACCUCAAAAGAUAUCAUAAGAUCAACAACGCGUUAAGUAAACAUGACACAAACACCUUGUUGGUUAUAGGACCAACACAUGUACCAUGUACUGGUCUCAAGUGCCAAUAGUUUAAGUUAUGUACCAGCACACUAAGGCAUUCCCAUAAUGUCUCCCAUUGCACAUUUAGUAUGUUGUACUCGAUACUUAUCCAUUACGCUAUCGUUAUGCGAUAAUAUUCAAGGCUUUAGAUGUGGGGUCCAUAUCCUAGGACCAUACUUCCUCUAGUGGGCCCACCACAUCUUUCUACACCUAAGAUUGAAAGGGAAAUG
rnacentral:lncRNA from 7 species